GAUGAACGCUGGCGGCGUGCUUAACACAUGCAAGUCGAACGGACAGGCCCUGCUUUUGUGGGGUGCUUGUUUGGCGAAGGGGUGUGUAUCACGCGUGUAACCUGCACUUGUCUUUGGGAUAACUUCAGGAAAAUGCGGAUCUUAUCGGGUAUGAGCUUCUGCUCCACGUUGUGCGUAGGAGAGUUUCGGCGGUUGGGGAUGGUCUCGCGGCUUCUCAGCUUGUUUGUGGGGUUGUUACUUAACAAGGGUUUGACGGGUAGCCUGCCUGAGAGGGUGACCGGCCACAUGGGGACUAAGGGACGGCCCAGACUCCGACGGGAGGCAACAGUGGGGAAUAUUGCACAAUGGGCGGAAGCCUGAUGCAGCAACGCCGCGUGCGGGAUAACGGCUUUCGGGUUGUAAACCGCUUUCGACUGUGACGAAGCGUGAGUGACGGUAAUGAGUAAAGAAGCACCGGCUAACUACGUG
rnacentral:rRNA from 1 species